rnacentral:lncRNA from 1 species
GAGACCUUUACACGUCACCAGCAAGCAAGACAAUGUAUAAAAGAGGAGUCCCCUCCUCAGAAAGUUUAAGCCUUAUUCAGUAAUACAAAACCCUUGCAAAACCCUAUUCAAUUGGAUCUCAGAUCAUCAAUUGGCGCCGUCUGUGGGAAACGAAGGAGAUCUUUUCAUCACCGGAGUUUUCACUUUCAAAACCCACUGAGAUCCACAAUGGCAAACCACCAAGAAAGUAACCUUAAUAUUCCAAAUGACUUAAGCUCCGCCCAAGAGG